UACGAAGGGGGCUAGCGUUGCUCGGAAUCACUGGGCGUAAAGCGCACGUAGGCGGCUUUUUAAGUCAGGGGUGAAAUCCUGGAGCUCAACUCCAGAACUGCCUUUGAUACUGAGAAGCUUGAGUCCGGGAGAGGUGAGUGGAACUGCGAGUGUAGAGGUGAAAUUCGUAGAUAUUCGCAAGAACACCAGUGGCGAAGGCGGCUCACUGGCUCGAUACUGACGCUGAGGUGCGAAAGCGUGGGGAGCAAACAGG
rnacentral:rRNA from 1 species